CUCCUGAUUCAGACAAGAUGACUUUUUGUACUGGAGAAAGCAAUAUUGGGGAUAGAGGGCUCAUAUUUUAGCCGAAAACAAUGGUUUGAAG